GAUAUUUGUAGCUGUUUCUUUGAUGCCGCUUUGUAUAAAUUCGACUUUGUAGCAGACCAGCUCUACAUUCUCGCAAUGGCAUGCACAAGAGAGCACACUACAGACGGGGAGAGAGCAACUUCAUGCACGUUUAAAAUAGUAAUGAUUCUUCUGGCCUGGAACCUAAUUCCCACUGCCUUGGUAAUCACAGCCUUUGUGGAGCUACGAAGCAAUUUAAAAGGGGAACUAGAACGCGGUAUCAAAGUGAAUGAGUCACGGCCUGCACUGGUGCACUUAACCGGGCAUCACAGCGACCGGGGAAAAUUGAAUGAUGAAGUGCUGGAUAUUUAGAAAACGGCAAGUUCUAAAAUGACUUCGCUUGGUGCCAACCUGAGUUCAAUCAUAAUAAAGGAAAGCGGCAACUACUUUGUCUAUGCUCAGCUAUACUUUCAAGUUCCAUUCAACUCAAAGCUGGACAAGUUCGACCAGAGCUACUUGGCAUUUUUCGUUUGUCGAAUAUCCAAAGCCACAACGAGUAUCUUGAUGCGAGCCGUGGCAUCAAACGGCUUCCAAGGGAAGAAGAAUGUAUUGACAUAUCACAAAUCUUUUAGAAGCAAGGCAACAACAUCCUAGUCCAGAAUGAAUGCAAUCGACAGCGUAUUGCAAUAUUGAUAACAUAGUAAACACCGUCUGUGUAGAAAACUUCGACGACACUAAAGAUUGUUUCGACCAGGCAGAAAGCGAGCUAGAGCCAAGUCGGAAGCGUGUUCGGAUGGAAAGACACACCCCGUCUUCUGAAAGAAAAAGAUGAGGAACAGGAGACUGUUUUUCUCUGUGCGCGCUCGAAAGUGUCUAAAUAAAAUAGACAAAAUCCAUACCGUUUCAAUCUCCCGCCAAAAUUACAUCGCCGCGCGCCUCCACAAGCGCUCUCAUUAAAUCUAAAGAAAUAACGCCACAAGAAAAAAAGCGUCGCAUUAAAACAAAAGGUGGCCAAUUCAUGAAAUCCCGGAAUGUUGUUGCGUAUGCCUAUCAGGAAAACAUCAACGAAGUUAUCGGCAAUUUGGCAUCAAUUUGUUGUGGUUGGGGCAACGGAUGUGAUCUUCUCAAGACUGGAGGCCAAAGAAGCAUUCAACACGACUCUUUCGAAACAAAGCCAGUCAAUUCUCCUAAAAUCCAUUCGAAUGCCAGAUUGGGCCUAUCUUCUUUUGAGAAUCAGAACAAAAAUUUCAGAUGCUUUCAGAUGGAAGACCCUAUACUUAACCUUACCCAACUUGGAUCACCUAGGAAAACCACAGACUUCGCCAUUCUUCCAACAAAGAACCAAAUUUGUGCAAUGAAAGUGGUGCUGUUUGGCGCUACUUACGACACUGUUGGAACUAGUGAAUUACCUGAUGGGCUCCUAGAUGCACAAGUAAACCUAGUUUCUGUGUUGGUAUGGGGUAUUCGGGAAAUGCGAUUGCAUCAAGUAGAUGGCAGUGGCAACGACCGAACGCUACAUUUCAAUUUCAAACUGGAUGUAGACCUUUUUGGGCGCAAAUGGGCUUCGAGUGAAGAAGUAUUGAUUACACAAGUUAAUCUUAGAUGCCUUACAAACAAGUGUCUAUUGUGAAUGUGGAGCGAAAGGUGAAUGAGUCACGGCCUGCACUGGUGCACUUAACCGGGCAUCACAGCGACCGGGGAAAAUUGAAUGAUGAAGUGCUGGAUAUUUGGAAAACGGCAAGUUCUAAAAUGACUUCGCUUGGUGCCAACCUGAGUUCAAUCAUAAUAAAGGAAAGCGGCAACUACUUUGUCUAUGCUCAGCUAUACUUUCAAGUUCCAUUCAACUCAAAGCUGGACAAGUUCGACCAGAGCUACUUGGCAUUUUUCGUUUGUCGAAUAUCCAAAGCCACAACGAGUAUCUUGAUGCGAGCCGUGGCAUCAAACGGCUUCCAAGGGAAGAAGAAUGGUCUGUAUACCUCAUAUUCCGGUAGUGUUCACCAACUUAAAGAGGGAGAUGUACUGUUUGUUAGUGUAGUUAAAAAACAACGCGUCGUGGUAAACACAAACGAAAGCAGCUCCUUUUUUGGAGCUUUUAAACUUGAAUUUUAUAUUUAUUUUAGUAUUGACAUAUCACAAAUCUUUUAGAAGCAAACAUGUUUCGGCAAACUGUCAUCUUCAGUACGAUGUGUAAGUGCGAUGUGUGCAAUUUAGAUAUAAAUGCAAGGUCUUUGCUGGCACGUGUUAUACACAUAUGAUACAAACAUGAAAUGUCGAAGCCAUGAAAGCGGAAAUUAUUUACA
rnacentral:lncRNA from 1 species